rnacentral:rRNA from 1 species
GACGAACGCUGGCGGCGUGCUUAACACAUGCAAGUCGAACGGUGAAGCGCCUUCCUUUUUGGUGGGUGUGGAUGAGUGGCGAACGGGUGAGUAACACGUGAGUAACCUGCCCCCUUCUUCUGGAUAACCGCAUGAAAGUGUGGCUAAUACGGGAUAUUCUGGGUCUGUCGCAUGAUGGGUCUGGGAAAGAUAUUGUUUCGGUGGGGGAUGGGCUGGCGGCCUAUGAGCUUGUUGGUGGGGUGAUGGCCUACCACGGCGGUGGCGGGUACCCGGCCUGAGAGGGUUGACGGGCACACUGGGACGGAGGCACGGCCAAGACUGCUACGGGAGGCAGCAGUGGGGAAUAUUGCACAAUGGGCUCAAGCCUGAUGCAGCGACGCCGCGUGAGGGAUGGAGGCCUGCGGGUUGUGAACCUCUUUCGCCAGUGAAGCAGGACUGCCUCGUCUGUGGGUGGGUUGACGGUAGCUGGAUAAGAAGCGCCGGCUAACUACGUG